CACCCAGGACGGUGGAUCACUCGGCUCGUGGGUCGAUGAAGAACGCAGCAAAUUGCGCGUCGAGAUGUCAACUGAAGGACACAUGAACAUCGACGUUUCGAAUGCACAUUGCGGUCCAUGGAUUCCGUUCCCGGGCCACGUCUGGCUGAGGGUCG
rnacentral:rRNA from 1 species